GACGAACGCUGGCGGCGUGCCUAAUACAUGCAAGUCGAGCGAGUCUGCCUUGAAGAUCGGAGUGCUUGCACUCUGUGAAACCAGAUACAGGCUAGCGGCGGACGGGUGAGUAACACGUGGGUAACCUGCCCAAGAGAUCGGGAUAACACCUGGAAACAGAUGCUAAUACCGGAUAACAACAGAUGAUGCCUAUCAACUGUUUAAAAGAUGGUUCUGCUAUCACUCUUGGAUGGACCUGCGGUGCAUUAGCUAGUUGGUAGGGUAACGGCCUACCAAGGCGAUGAUGCAUAGCCGAGUUGAGAGACUGAUCGGCCACAUUGGGACUGAGACACGGCCCAAACUCCUACGGGAGGCAGCAGUAGGGAAUCUUCCACAAUGGACGCAAGUCUGAUGGAGCAACGCCGCGUGAGUGAAGAAGGGUUUCGGCUCGUAAAGCUCUGUUGUUGGUGAAGAAGGACAGGGGUAGUAACUGACCUUUGUUUGACGGUAAUCAAUUAGAAAGUCACGGCUAACUACGUG
rnacentral:rRNA from 1 species